AUUGAACGCUGGCGGCAGGCCUAACACAUGCAAGUCGAGCGGGGUUUUCGGACCUAGCGGCGGACGGGUGAGUAAUGCGUAGGAAUCUGCCCGAUAGAGGGGGAUACCAGUUGGAAACGACUGUUAAUACCGCAUAAUGUCUACGGACCAAAGUGUGGGACCUUCGGGCCACAUGCUAUCGGAUGCGCCUACGUGGGAUUAGCUAGUUGGUGAGGUAAUGGCUCACCAAGGCGACGAUCUCUAGCUGGUUUGAGAGGAUGAUCAGCCACACUGGAACUGAGACACGGUCCAGACUCCUACGGGAGGCAGCAGUGGGGAAUAUUGGACAAUGGGCGCAAGCCUGAUCCAGCCAUGCCGCGUGUGUGAAGAAGGCCUUCGGGUUGUAAAGCACUUUCAGCGAGGAGGAAGGGUGGUGUGUUAAUAGCACAUCAUUUUGACGUUACUCGCAGAAGAAGCACCGGCUAACUCUGUGCCAGCAGCCGCGGUAA
rnacentral:rRNA from 1 species